rnacentral:rRNA from 1 species
UACGAAGGGGGCUAGCGUUGUUCGGAUUUACUGGGCGUAAAGCGUGUGCAGGCUGCCCGUCAAGUGGUGUAUGAAAGUGCCCGGCUCAACCGGGCUUGGUUAUGCCAGACUGACGGGCUAGAGAGCGAGAGCGGGACGUGGAAUUCCAGGUGUAGCGGUGAAAUGCGUAGAUAUCUGGAGGAACACCGGUGGCGAAGGCGGCAUCCUGGACCGGCAUUGACGCUGAGGCGCGAAAGCCAGGGGAGCAAAGCGGG